rnacentral:rRNA from 1 species
AACGAACGCUGGCGGCAGGCUUAACACAUGCAAGUCGAACGCAUCGCAAGAUGAGUGGCAGACGGGUGAGUAACGCGUGGGAAUCUACCGAGCCCUGCGGAAUAGCUCCGGGAAACUGGAAUUAAUACCGCAUACGCCCUUUGGGGGAAAGAUUUAUCGGGGUUUGAUGAGCCCGCGUUGGAUUAGCUAGUUGGUGGGGUAAAGGCCUACCAAGGCGACGAUCCAUAGCUGGUCUGAGAGGAUGAUCAGCCACAUUGGGACUGAGACACGGCCCAAACUCCUACGGGAGGCAGCAGUGGGGAAUAUUGGACAAUGGGCGCAAGCCUGAUCCAGCCAUGCCGCGUGAGUGAUGAAGGUCUUAGGAUUGUAAAGCUCUUUCACCGAUGAAGAUAAUGACGGUAGUCGAAGAAGAAGCCCCGGCUAACUUCGUGCCAGCCGCCGCGGUAAAAC